CUCAAGCGGCUGGGGGCGGCGCGGCGGCUCGAUGUAGAUCGGCGGCAGCGGUUGGAGCUUGCAGGGGGCGGAUCCGUGCACGGCAGGGGCUGGGGAGGCGGAUCAGGAGGCCGGCGGCGAGGUGGGGUCACCAGUGACGACGAGGAUGGCCGGAGCGCGGAUUCCCUGGCGGAUCCAUGGAGUCUGAGGCUCCUAGGCAAGGAAGGGAAGUGAGGGAGAGAAGGAGGGAGUAAGGAGGGGCGGCGCAGCGACCUAGGCAGGAGCUUGCCGGAGCCGGGCGAUGGUGGACGGGCACGGGAGACAGAGGGAUCCGGCGUGGCGGCGCGAAGUCCUUGCAGGUGGCGCACCUCGGCCGUCAUCGAGGCCACCGCCGCCACCUGCCGGUGCAACGAGGCAGAGGAGGAUCUCCUGGUUUUGCUUCGUCGCCAACUCCAUGUUCACGGUCGUGGUUCUAAUCCCUCUCUUGCCACUCCACUGUUUUGAUUUAUUGUAUACGUGCAGUUCAUCUCCCAGUGACCCAGUCGCUGGCUGGAUGUGUCUAUAUCUCUCAUCAUUUUGUCAAAUCAGAUAACCUAUCAGUAGGAAAUUAUUUUCCUCCACUUUGCAAGACCACAUAACCAAUUUACUAUCAGCGGUCUAUACGAUUAAUUUCUAACUUUGCAGGAUCAUUCUGACUCGGCAUCUGUCACUCUAACAAGUGUUCGUCUUUAAUGUCCUACACUAUAUUCUGCAACAAAAUUUGCCCUGUGUGCAUGAGUACCAAUAAUUUGGGUUAUUUCGUUUUGUUGAAAUGAUGAUAAAAUUGAGUUAAGCGAGUUGGAGCUACUGCACCCCUAGCCUGAGUGGAAUGAGCUCAUGGAGCGCCUCGAAGGCCCCGACAACGGUGGCAGUAGGCGUUGCCAUUAGAUCUGGAGGUAGAGGGAGUCACCACGAGGAGCGGCAACCGAAGACAGGCAGCAUCGACCGUGUCAAGCAAGCUGUAGGAGGCCUGCGCGACUCCUUGCCGAUCACUUGACAGUCCAAGCCUGCAAUAGUGUCGAUUCAGGUAGGCGUGUGGCAUGGCCGAAUCCUGCCCGAUCAAGGCCAACCAAUGGACAUGUUGUAUGCAUCGAUGUCCCAAUCCAGCAGGCAAUACAUGUCUGCAAACAGUCCUGAAAAAAGUCAUUCGAUAAGAAAAAAACUCAGGAAAGUAUGGUGGUUCUACGUCACUAGGCAAAUCAGAGGAGACUACCCAUCUAUAAUGACAGGUGGUGGUAGACACCUGAAUUGUAGUGAUGCAUUCUCUUCCGACAGGCUCCAAAUGAUGGUUAUUCUGUAGGAUUGGGAGAUGGAUGUAUUGUCCUUGUCCGUGCUGUUUGCUUUUGUGGGAAGAAAAAAAUGUUGAGUUUCAUGGUUCGCAGUGUGGUUUUCGAUGGUGGAUGUGACAUCCGACGAUUGCCGAGGAAGAAAGGUUGCAUUGGCAAAUGGGGCCUCAACAAUCUCUUGUGCCAUUUGAACUUUAAUUUGAUUAUCGAUGAAGCAAGAUAUUCUAGAUUUAUCGAAUCCUAUUUUUUUCAUCAGAUCGAUAUGGUUGUCUGUACGAACUACGGCAUAAGCUUCUUUGAGCAGCUUUUGACGGUGUUUCCAUCUUUUAAUUUCUCAGCAAUUGCAAGUACCAACCUCAGAGUUGAAAGUAAGUGAUGCAUAUUUUUCACGGAUCAAAUAGGAAUCACUACCACAGUACUGGCCUAACUUCUGUACUAAUGCCUACAUCAACCGCCUGGGAAGAAGUUCUAGGUACAUCUAUUGAAUCGGUCGGUUUAUCUUCCUUUAUCUAUAACUCGAUAUAGAUAUUAGGCAAGUAGGCUAUUACAGUACAGGUGGACCACUUUUAGACAUGCCAUAUUCUUUGUCUGAAUAACAAAAUUAUUUUCACAUGGAAACCUCACACAAAAUCGUUGUUUAAAUCAUUGUUGGAUGUUCCAUUCUUUCAUUAUUUUGUUACAUUCAAACUAAGAAUAAUGCAAGAAAAAAAACCUUCAUUGUUCUAGAGAGGUGUUGGAGGCUCAGAGCUGCAUAUUCUAAUGAUAUAACUGUCAAUUACAAAAUAAGACCAAACACUGUUUCUACGAGUUAGCAUCAAGUUGCCAGGAGCAGUGAAGCGCCAAUAAUGGUCAACUAUGGUGCUUGAGGAGAUGGAUAUAUGUAGUUGUAAGGUUGCAGAUAUAGGCUGGAGCAAUAUGUAAGUACUAUUACAGAAUUACUUCAGCUUAUGCUGAGUGUUUCCAUUAGCUAGAUGGUUGUGCUUCAUGUCCUAGGAUCACAUGCCCUUUAUGUUCAGAGUACGGUCUGAUUAUGAAUAAGAUAAUAAAAGGGUCGUUACUUCUAACUAGACAUUUUGUUAAUUUCCAGUUGAAGGCUUCCACGCGCCACCUCCUUCUCCCCCUCCUUCGCCGGGUCGAGAAGGGAGCAGCGACGAAGCAGAGGUAGACGUGGACACGUGGUAGGAGCCAAGGGGGGAACGGGGAAAGGCGGACGCGAGAUCCGUGAAGCCAGAGAAGGUACGUGAGCUUGUCCACCGCAGGCUAUAGCUCCAAAAUCGGCGGUGUCAGCCGCCACCAGUGCCACCGUGUUCGCCUCCGGCUGGCCUGGUAGCAACAAAAGUAUGGCUGCAGGUGUGGUUCAUUCAGUUUUGUAGUUCGAUUUACUUGCUUGUGCAUAUGUGCGUGUAUACUGAGAGAGAGGGAGAGAUUAUUCUGUUCUAGCAGUCAUAUUUCUGUCGCAAAUCUGCUCCCCUCCACUCCUUUUUCAUUUAACUGAAAUCUGAAUGUGAAAAGCAGUUGCAAAUUAAGAGCAGCAGAGUAAAUGUUCAAAAGUUCAGAGCAGGUGCAUGUUUUUGAGA